AGCAACAAAGAAAAUAUUCCUCAAACUAUAAAAAAAUAAUAAAAAUCUUACAGUCAUAUGCACAUUAGAAGUGAAAUAUAUAUGCAGAACACUCUGCAGAACCAGGGAAGUUGAUUACUUGUCCGAAUCACGAUGUAUGCUGUUUAUUGAGUGUGUGCGAAGACCUUUAAUGCCAGACUUCACAGAUCUCACUGCGGUCACGAACAAAGCCAAAGCCAUAAAUGUAACACCUGAUUUUCAGGGGAGAUGGGAAUAUGGAAAAGUGUUUGGGAAAUUCUCCUGCAAAGAUGGAAUUGAAUCUCUCAAGAGAACUAGAGAACAUUUUCUACAGCCUCCAGGCACUGGGAUGUGGCACAGGGGCAUUCCUUCAUCUCCAGGUCAGUCCAGUGCGGCCAAGACUGCUAAGCCCAUCCCUUUCCUUCAUGGGAGGAAACUCCCUCUUCUGUCACUGGACUAUACAAGAGAGGGGAGGGAAAGAGAAGAAAGAAAAAAACACCCUCUUCUGUCCACCAUUUUAGAGAGAGAAAAGGAAUUUCUCAGCUGCUCUCCUAUCUGACAUCCAAAUGGAAAAGGCAAGAGACCAGGCUGUUUCCUCAUUGCAUUAGAGGUGAGAGGAAGCAGGAUAGGAAGAGGUCAGGAAGCAGCCAACAAAAGAAAAGGUUUCCUCAAGAUGUGCCAUCUGCCAUCUGACAGGACCAUACGAGACAGGACAAAAGUGACCCUAGUCUAAAGGCUGCUCUAUGCAUAAAGUAAACAAGCAAGGGGAAGCAACCUUGGGUCUCUUUGCUGCAUUUAUACGGACAGAAGUAGCCCUACCUGCCUGCAUGUCACGCUCCUGAUUCCAGUGGAAACUGUUCCUCAUGCUCUGCAGGAUUAGGGUCUUCUGUGCUCCUCAUAACUACAGUAGCUAACAGCAUAUAGAACUAUUAUUUUUAAGUUGAACUGAUAUUAAGCAAUAAAACUCAGGAUGUCAAAGCUUUUAAGGCUCAUUUAUUUGCAAGCAGCCAAGCAGCAUACCCUGGGUUGAACCGUGGUCCAAUUUACAGUUACGCUUGGUGCUGUUCCGUGAACAUCACACCACGUUACACAAAUUGUGAAUCGACAAAUCCAUCGCUUUAAAACAAUCUGCCCAAAGCCUCACGAUGAGUCAGUGGCAGCAUCUUGUUUAUGUCUCAGACUUUGGCUUCCAUUUCAUAGCUGCUCAGUCCACCAAAUCAUAAUUGCACUGCAUCACCAAAAAUGUUAUUAUUUCUGUUCUUCUGAAAGUCCUGUUUACUUUGGUUGUUUUUGUUUGUUUGUUUGUUUUGCUUUUACUAGGGGAAGAAAAUAAAUUAAAAAGCUUCUUAACAAUUACAGUUGUGAUUUUUUUUUCAAAAAAAUUGGGAACCAACAAACUAUAUUUCUCAGCUGAUCCACAGAAAAGAUAGAAAGCCUGACCUAUUUGAACCAAAUGGACAAUAAUCCAAAGGCCUACAGAGAAAAACCACUGUGCAAGUGCCAGAGUUUUCACUACAGAUAAAGUAAUAGUAUACCUGUACUGACUUUAAAAAUACUACUUGUAGUCAGUAAGAAGUGAAAGACUUCAAAAUAAAACCCUCCUUCAAGGAACAACUUGCCACCGGUCCUUAAUCCUGCAGAAGAUCUGCAAAAACUGAGAAUAUUUUGCUUGAGUAAACAGAAUUUUAAUUGAGCAUAAACAAGUGAACAGCAGGCAUGUGAUUUCCAUAAGUAUGCAUGAUUGGAAGGAAUAAAGACUUAAAAAUCUGGGGCCAUGAAACCGAUUUCAAUUUUAAAACUCUUAUGGUUUAAAAAAAGGUAGCAUGUACAUAGAAGGCUCUUUUCAUUACAAAUGGAUUCUUUAAAACAAAUUGCCAGUGACAAAUCACCAUUUAUAAGAACUGUUUCCAAUAAGGUAGAAGUUAUCUAGCAUAGCACUAAAGAAUACAUUUAAUUUUAAGCAUGCUUACAGUUUUAUUAGAGCCAAUGGCUUUUUCCAUGCUUAAAGCCAAGCAUAUGCUCAAGUACUCUGGUGAGACAAAAGCUUACAAGUUUGUUGUUUAGAAUGCAAAGCGAGGCUUUUUAUCCCAAACCACAUUUUCUUGCAUGUAAUCAGCCGUGAUGAUGUCACCAUAGUUUCCAAUUCAUUUCAGGGCACACUCAUCAUUUAUUAGGACCCAGAUGGUGCUCUCUUUCUCUGGCUUCUGAAGGAUAUGCCCAAAUAUUAAAACAG